UCCUCCUUCGAUAAUAGCAUUGAACACCGCCGGUGAGAAACAGCGAUUCCAAUUGUAUUAGCUAGGUUUGGCCAGUGACGUAGUGUUUUAAGGGGUUUGAAACUUAGUAGUAGUUUCAAUACUAGAGCAGAGAGCUUCUCAAGUAAAUGUUUCUUUCUGGGUCUAUUGACCACUCAUCAUCAGGCAUGCCCUUAUGCAACAAUCAUCCAUUGGAGAAAGAAGGAGAACAGUAAGACAAAGCAUCCUCAACUUCUCUAUGAAGCCAAGCUAUACAGAGUUCUUGAAGGAGGGAAGUAUGCUUCUGAGUCCUAUAUUUUCUUAUUCUGCAGUUGUUGGAGGGAUUGAUUAUUCAGUACAAUGCUAAUUUUGUGUUACCUGUUGGCUGUGGUCUGCAGUUGGAGUUCCUAAGAUGGUUUGGAGUGUAUGGAACAGAAAAUGCAUUAGUGAUGGAUUUGUUAGGGCCAAGUCUCGAAGAUCUAUUCGUGUAAUUGUGGGAGGAAGUUCUCACCAAAGAGGGUUUUGAUGUUGGCUGAUGAGAUGGUCUGGCAUGAGUUUUUAACUGGGGGCAUUAAUUGUGUCAUACUAGUACUAGCUAUCAGUUCUCUUGACUACUAAUACAUUGAUCAUCUGAUGGGCUUCUAGCUGACAAGAGUAUAUAGAAUAUGUACAUUCCAAAGGAUAUUUACAUAGAGAUGUAUUGUAGUUUUCCUUUCUUCUGAUCUGAUGAGCAAAAAGAUUACGUGCCUUUUGGGCACUUUUACUGAGAUUCUGCAGUGGGGAAGCUCUUCUAGACGAGGUUGAUGAUCGAAAUGGAGCUUUUUCAUGGAAAGCUUACUGUUUCACACAUAUGGCAUGAAGAUUAUGUUAACUAAUUUCUUUCAAGAUUCUCCCAAAAUGACUGACUUCAAACCUUUGUAUAAAAUCUUGCAACGGGACCUGUAGUUUGGUUUUCUUGUGAUUCAUUCUCAUCAGUUUUGUUUUAACUUACUCUGUUCAUAUUCCUGUGUAGUUUCCUGAGCAGCUGAAGGGGCAUAAACUGGAUUUGUUGCUUGAUCAACAUUAUUUGUAGAAACAUAAAGAGCCAACCAAGCUUGAGCAGAGAUGUCUUCAAAGGCUUGAGUCAAGAUUAGCUUGCUUGCAACAGGACAGGGUCAGCAUCAAGCAAUGCGCUCGACCAUACGGUUUAAUUGGUGGACUUCACCAUCGUUUAGGUCGCAGCUAGCGAGAAGGGAUGAUGGUUUCUUAUGUUGUUAUGCUCGGAGAAGCAUUGUACUCUCCUUUUUUUUUUUUUCUCCUGAUUUUUCUUUUACUCGAUUUUGUGGAAUGAAAAAAAAAAAAUUCUGUACCAAAACCAGAAUCAAAUAUUGGAAUGUACACACCUCGAAAUUAACGAUUGUGGAUUUGAUUUUU